AUCAACGCUGGCGGCGUGCCUUACACAUGCAAGUCGAGCGGCAGCGCGGGGGCAACCCUGGCGGCGAGCGGCGAACGGGUGAGUAAUGCAUCGGAACGUGCUCCUCUUGUGGGGGAUAACCAGUCGAAAGACUGGCUAAUACCGCAUGAGAUCGCAAGAUGAAAGCAGGGACCGCAAGGCCUUGCGCGAGAGGAGCGGCCGAUGCCGGAUUAGCUAGUUGGCCGGGGGUAAUGGCCCACCAAGGCGACGAUCCGUAGCUGGUUUGAAGAGAACGACCAGCCACACUGGGACUGAGACACGGCCCAGACUCCUACGGGAGGCAGCAGUGGGGAAUUUUGGACAAUGGGGGCAACCCUGAUCCAGCCAUGCCGCGUGUGUGAAGAAGGCCUUCGGGUUGUAAAGCACUUUUCGGACGGAACGAAAUCGCACGGCGUGAACAUCCCGUGUGGAUGACGGUACCGUAAGAAGAAGCACCGGCUAACUACGUGCCAGCAGCCGCGGUAAUACGUAGGCGUGCGAGCGAGUUAAUCGGAAUUUACUGGGCGUAAAGUGUGCGCAGGCGGGCCCCUGCAAGUCGAGUGUGAAAUCCCCCAGGGCUUAAACUUGGGAAUGGCGCUCCGAAACUACGGGGGGCUAGAGUGUGGCAGAGGGAGGUGGAAUUCCACGUGUAGCGGUGAAAUGCGUAGAGAUGUGGAGGAACACCAAUGGCGAAGGCAGCCUCCUGGGCCCAAACACCUGACGCUCAUGCACGAAAGCGUGGGGAGCAAACAGGAUUAGAUACCCUGGUAGUCCACGCCCUAAACGAUGAUGACUAGUUGUUGGAGGAGUUAAAUCCUUUAGUAACGCAGCCUAACGCGCGAAGUCAUCCGCCUGGGGAGUACGGUCGCAAGAUUAAAACUCAAAGGAAUUGACGGGGCCCGCACAAGCGGGGAUGAUGUGGUUUAAUUCGAUGCCAACGCGAAAACCUUACCUACCCCUUCGACAUGUACGGAAGCCUGCAGAAAUGCAGGUGUGCCCGAAAGGGAGGCCGUAACACAGGUGCUUGCAUGGCUGUCGUCAGCUCGGUGUCGUGAGAUGUUGGGGUUAUAGUCCCGCAACGAGCGGCAACCCCUGCCAUUAGUUGCCAAUCAUUAAGUUGGGCACUCUAGUGGGACCUGCCCGGUGAUAAGCCGGAGGAAGGUGGGAAUGACGUCAAGUCAUCAUGCGCCCUUACGGGCUGGGCUACACACGUGCUACACUGGCGGGUGACAAUGGGCAGCCACUCCGCGAGGAGGAGCCUAAUCCCAAAAAGCCGUCUCCAGUUCGGAUUGUUCUCCUCUGCAACCUUCGAGAGCAUGAAGUCGGAAUCGCUAGUAAUCGCGGAUCAGCGGUCCGCGGUGAAUACGUUGCCCGGGCCUUGUACACACCGCCCGUCCACACCGCCCAUGGGAGUUGGUUUACCCGAAGACGGUGCGCUAAGCACCAGCAAUGGAGGCAGCCGGCCACGGUAGGGCGUCAGCGACUGGGGUG
rnacentral:rRNA from 1 species